rnacentral:rRNA from 1 species
AUUGAACGCUGGCGGCGUGCCUAACACAUGCAAGUCGAGCGGUAACAGGUGUAGCAAUACAUGCUGACGAGCGGCGAACGGGUGAGUAAUGCUUCGGAAUCUACCCAAUGGUGGGGAAUAACCAGCCGAAAGGUUGGCUAAUACCGCAUACGUCCCACGGGAGAAAGCAGGGGAUCGCAAGACCUUGCGCCAAUGGAUGAGCCGAAGUCGGAUUAGCUAGNGGUAGGGUAACGGCCUACCAAGGCGACGAUCCGUAGCUGGUCUGAGAGGACGACCAGCCACACUGGGACUGAGACACGGCCCAGACUCCUACGGGAGGCAGCAGUGGGGAAUAUUGGACAAUGGGGGAAACCCUGAUCCAGCG